AAUAAGGUGCCUGAUUAAAGGGUUAUCUUGAUAGGAUAAAUUAAGUAAUGUAAAUUACCUUUAUUA
rnacentral:tRNA from 1 species